rnacentral:lncRNA from 1 species
ACUUUAAAUUUCAUGCCGUACCCGUAUCGGAUACGUCUUGGAUAUCGAUACGCGCCCGAUAUGUGUCCGAUACGGGAAUGAAGUAUUCGAUAUUUUUAAAAAAUAAAAAAAUAUCGGAUACGGUUCGGAUACGUGAGGGAUGCGGGGUGAUACGGGGGGAUAAGGUCAGAUUCUUUUUUGGUGUAAAAUAAUCGAAACUUAAAAUUUUUUUAAAAGCUCACAUCCAAACCUAUUGGAAAGAAGGAAAAGUGUGAGAAAAACACCAAUCUCUAUUCAAUUUGUCAUUUCAUCUAUCUUUUUAUUCUUGAAUGGUAGAAGGCGCUCCCUCUCAUUCUAUCUUCACACAGUAUUUACUCACUUUCUUUUAAUUUGUCAACCUAACAUUAAGCAACAAAGGUUAUAGAAAAUAUAAUUUUUUUUCCUUCUCUAUUAAAUUGUUAGCAUAUUUUUUUAUUACUAUUUUAAUAAUAUAACUAACAAAACAUACAUAAAUAUUGAAUGGUUAAUUAUCUAGUUUGUGCGACUACAUAUCUAUUAUUAUCAUUUGAUCAAGUUGGAUGAUAGUUGUUUGAUACUUUUUAAAUUAUUAUUUUAUAUGAUUGAUUAUCUGUUUUUAUGAACAUAUAUAGAACAAUUAUACAAAUUAAUGUAUAUUAGAAUAUAUUCCUUAAUAUAAUCUAGGUAUUCUGAUUGUUCUCAAUAUAUCAUUACAUAUAAUCAACAUAUACUUAAAUAUAUUUAAAAUAAUAUUUUAUUCAAGUAUAUUCCACGUAUCGUAUUCUAGAAGUUUUAAAAAUUACCGUAUCACCGUAUUCGUAUCGUGUCGUAUCCGUAUUCCUAUUUCCGUAUCUGUGCAACAUAGC